rnacentral:rRNA from 1 species
UACGGGGGGGGCAAGCGUUGUUCGGAAUUACUGGGCGUAAAGGGCUCGUAGGCGGCCAACUAAGUCGGAUGUGAAAUCCCCAGGCUUAACCUGGGAAUUGCAUCCGAUACUGGAUGGCUUGAAUCCGGGAGAGGGAUGCGGAAUUCCAGGUGUAGCGGUGAAAUGCGUAGAUAUCUGGAGGAACACCGGUGGCGAAGGCGGUUCUCUGGGCAUUACCUGACGCUGAGGAGCGAAAGUGUGGGGAGCGAACAGG